rnacentral:rRNA from 1 species
ACUGAACGCUGGCGGCGUGCUUAACACAUGCAAGUCGAACGCGAACGUCACUUCGGUGGCUAGUAGAGUGGCGAACGGGUGAGUAACACGUGGACAACCUGCCCGGAUGUGGGGGACAACUUUUGGAAACGGAAGCUAAUACCGCAUUCGCACGGAGAUCGCAUGGUCUCCGUGGAAAGACCGCCUCUUCUUGAAAGCGGUCGCAUCCGGAGGGGUCCGCGGCUGAUUAGCUAGUCGGUGGGGUAACGGCCUACCGAGGCGACGAUCAGUAGCCGGCCUGAGAGGGCGAUCGGCCACACUGGAACUGAGACACGGUCCAG